CAUCAUAAUCUUGUUGAUGUUUGUGUGUGUGUGUGUGUGUGUUUACCAUGUUGUUGUUUGGUCAUGGAUUUAUACAUUUCGCUAUACAACGAAAGAUGUGCUUAACAGAAGAGAAACAAAUUUUUUUUUUUUUUGACACCAAGUGAGAAUUUUCUUGUUUUGCUUCGUUGGUAAUCAUCAUCAUCAUCAUCAUCAUGGCACAGGUGCGCAAGUUUUUCGAUGGCCAUCUAUUCCAGUCAACAGGUUUGUUGUACAUUAGGGUUUUCAAAAAAAAAAAAAAAAUUCUUGGACCCGGGCAAAUAAACAAACAAACAAACAGAGAAAAAAAAACAUCACCUGGUUUAAACAGACGGGCCUAGAUGUGAAUUUGAAACAUCCAUUCAUUUCAUCAUAUAUGAAAGGCAAUGAAAGAAAACAUUCACACAGAAAAAAAAGUUGGCUU